AAUAGUUUUGGUCCUGGACUUACCGUUGCUUUCUACUAAGAUUAUACAUGCAAGUCUCAGCACACCAGUGAAAAUGCCCAAACCCCCUAAAAAGAACUAUCGGAGCAGGCAUCAGGCACCACCCACAUAAGCCCAUAACGCCUUGUCUUACCACACCCCCACGGGAUUUCAGCAGUAAUAAAUAUUGGGCAAUAAGUGAAAACUUGACCCAACUAUAGUAUUAAGGGCUGGUUAAUUUCGUGCCAGCCACCGCGGUUAUACGAAAGGCCCAAAACAACGGAGAAACGGCGUAAAUUGUGACUAGAUACGCUUAAUAAAAAAAUAUUAAACUUAUAGCCUAGUUGUAAAACACUCAGAUUAUAAAGAAAAUCACAAAAUAUUUUUUACCUUAGCCCUUUGAUCACACGAAAGCUUAGAAACAAACUAGGAUUAGAUACCCUACUAUGCUAAGCCAUUAACAUUGACAGCAUCCUAUACUCUGCUUUCCGCCAGAGAACUACAAGUGAAAAACUUCAAACUCAAAGGACUUGGCGGUGUCCCAUACCAACCUAGAGGAGCCUGUCCUAUAAUCGAUACCCCCCGUUCUACCUAACCUCUACUAGCACCUUUCAGCCUAUAUACCGCCGUCGACAGUCUACCCCAUGAGGGUCCAACAGUAGACAUAAUAGCCCACCCGCUAACACGUCAGGUCAAGGUGUAGCAUAUGUUGAGGAAGAGAUUGGCUACAUUUUUUAUUAUAAAAAAAUACGAAAUGCAACAUGAAACCCUGCAUGAAGGCGAAUUUAGUAGUAAGAUAAAACAAGAGUGUUUAUCUUAACAACGCUCUGGGACGCGCACACACCGCCCGUCACCCUCCUCAACAGACAUAUUCAUUUAUAUAAACCACUUACAGCCUAUUAGAGGAGGCAAGUCGUAACAUGGUAAGCGUACCGGAAGGUGUGCUUGGAAUAAC
rnacentral:ncRNA from 1 species